AGCUUGCUGGGGGAUUAGUGGCGAACGGGUGAGUAACACGUGAGUAACCUGCCCUUGACUCUGGGAUAAGCCUGGGAAACUGGGUCUAAUACCGGAUAUGACUCCUCAUCGCAUGGUGGGGGGUGGAAAGCUUUUGUGGUUUUGGAUGGACUCGCGGCCUAUCAGCUUGUUGGUGGGGUAAUGGCCUACCAAGGCGACGACGGGUAGCCGGCCUGAGAGGGUGACCGGCCACACUGGGACUGAGACACGGCCCAGACUCCUACGGGAGGCAGCAGUGGGGAAUAUUGCACAAUGGGCGCAAGCCUGAUGCAGCGACGCCGCGUGAGGGAUGACGGCCUUCGGGUUGUAAACCUCUUUCAGUAGGGAAGAAGCGAAAGUGACGGUACCUGCAGAAGAAGCGCCGGCUAACUACGUGCCAGCAGCCGCGGUAAUACGUAGGGCGCAAGCGUUAUCCGGAAUUAUUGGGCGUAAAGAGCUCGUAGGCGGUUUGUCGCGUCUGCUGUGAAAGACCGGGGCUCAACUCCGGUUCUGCAGUGGGUACGGGCAGACUAGAGUGCAGUAGGGGAGACUGGAAUUCCUGGUGUAGCGGUGAAAUGCGCAGAUAUCAGGAGGAACACCGAUGGCGAAAGGCAGGUCUCUGGGCUGUAACUGACGCUGAGGAGCGAAAGCAUGGGGAGCGAACAGGAUUAGAUACCCUGGUAGUCCAUGCCGUAAACGUUGGGCACUAGGUGUGGGGGACAUUCCACGUUUUCCGCGCCGUAGCUAACGCAUUAGUGCCCCGCCUGGGGAGUACGGCCGCAAGCUAAACUCAAGGAUUGACGGGGGCCCGCACAGCGCGAGCAUGCGAUAUC
rnacentral:rRNA from 1 species